rnacentral:rRNA from 1 species
CCCAGACUCCUACGGGAGGCAGCAGUGAGGAAUAUUGGUCAAUGGGCGGGAGCCUGAACCAGCCAAGUCGCGUGAGGGAUGACGGCCCUAUGGGUUGUAAACCUCUUUUGCCGGGGGGCAAAGUGCCGCACGUGUGCGGUUUGGAGAGUACCCGGAGAAAAAGCAUCGGCUAACUCCGUGCCAGCAGCCGCGGUAAUACGUAGGUGGCAAGCGUUAUCCGGAUUUACUGGGUGUAAAGGGCGUGUAGGCGGGACUGCAAGUCAGAUGUGAAAAUUAUGGGCUCAACCCAUAACCUGCAUUUGAAACUGUAGUUCUUGAGUGAUGGAGAGCCAGGCGGAAUUCCGUGUGUAGCGGUGAAAUGCGUAGAUAUACGGAGGAACACCAGUGGCGAAGGCGGCCUGCUGGACAUUAACUGACGCUGAGGCGCGAAAGCGUGGGGAGCAAACAGGAUUAGAUACCCCAGUAA